UACGUAGGGUGCGAGCGUUGUCCGGAAUUAUUGGGCGUAAAGGGCUCGUAGGCGGUUUGUCGCGUCGGGAGUGAGAACACCGGGCUUAACUCGGUGCUUGCUUUCGAUACGGGCAGACUAGAGGCAUGCAGGGGAGAACGGAAUUCCUGGUGUAGCGGUGAAAUGCGCAGAUAUCAGGAGGAACACCGGUGGCGAAGGCGGUUCUCUGGGCAUGUCCUGACGCUGAGGAGCGAAAGUGUGGGGAGCGAACAGG
rnacentral:rRNA from 1 species